rnacentral:rRNA from 1 species
CCUACGGGUGGCAGCAGUGAGGAAUAUUGGUCAAUGGACGAGAGUCUGAACCAGCCAAGUAGCGUGAAGGAUGACUGCCCUAUGGGUUGUAAACUUCUUUUAUAAAGGAAUAAAACGAGGCACGUGUGCCUUUUUGCAUGUACUUUAUGAAUAAGGAUCGGCUAACUCCGUGCCAGCAGCCGCGGUAAUACGGAGGAUCCGAGCGUUAUCCGGAUUUAUUGGGUUUAAAGGGAGCGUAGAUGGGUUGUUAAGUCAGUUGUGAAAGUUUGCGGCUCAACCGUAAAAUUGCAAUUGAUACUGGCAGUCGUGAGGACAGGUGAGGUAGGCGGAAUUCGUGGUGUAGCGGUGAAAUGCGUAGAUAUCACGAAGAACCCCGAUUGCGAAGGCAGCUUACUAAACUGUGACUGACAUUGAUGCUCGAAAGUGUGGGUAUCAAACAGGAUUAGAUACCCCAGUAGUC